rnacentral:lncRNA from 1 species
CAGCCUCCUGUUGUGUAGACUCAUCAACUAUACCAGUCCUCUGUUCCUGGUCUCUGGAGCUUCAAUUUGGGAAAGUGACCCAUUAGCUUCUGAGGACCAGGGUGAGAGAGGGCAAACUUGAAUGCCCUUCACAAUGGAGAGAUGUGUGCAGACCGGACAGACAUCAGUUCCUUUAUCAGUGCACAGGUAGCUGCAAUAUGCUUCCUGGAAUCCUCUCUCAAAUAAACUGCUUGCCUCCAAAUCCUUGUCUCAGGCCUGCAUGUGGAGAGAUAAAACCCAGACAAAGAGGCAGACAUGAGCAGAUGAGCUCCCCCGAACAGGAGACAAGUGGGCUGAGAGGUGAAGGAAGAGGAUGAGGUAAGAGAGUGGGGAUGGGGAGAGCGGUCUAGGCAGGAAUGCACAUGCAAGGGUUCUGAGCACGCACAGCCUCGUGG